UCCCGCCGGACCUGAGCGACCCGGUCGGGUCGGGGCGCACGCGCGGAAGCCGCGCUCGGCUCCCGGCGGUCCGCAGAGGAGCCGCACCCGAGCAGCCCGGCCCCGGCCUCGCCGCGCAGAGCCUUACCCGAAGCCUCGUCCUGCGACAGGUGGUCCUGCGGACGCAGCCCUGCCGCCCGCCCCACGAUGUUCAGCCCCGGGGCGGCUGGUCCUGCCCUCCUUACCCCCGAGCUCCCAGAAGCCCGCGCCAGCUCAGGCUCACCCUGGCGUGGACCGCCGCACAAACCUCAAGGGAGCCAGGAAAGCGGGGAGAGCCGGCGCGGCCCUGGGCGGACGGACGGGCGCGCGAACCAAUGGGAGGCAGGGACCCUGCGGGGGGCGGUGCCUCGAGCACCUUCCUCCUUUCGGUUGGUUUCCUCCUGGUUAACUGUUCGGGGGCCGCGCGCGCGCCCCGAGUGGACGCGACCCGGAGACCUCGGAGAGCCUAGCAGAGUUGGAGGACUUUAGAGGCAGGCAGCUCUGAGGAAGAACCGAGUAUUCCUUAACGCGGUCCUUCCCUCGGCGCACUCCCGGCUUUGGCUUGGGGAGGGGGGUGGCGAGGCAGGGCUGCGAGUUCGCGCGAGGGCGCGCUCUGCGCAGGCGCGAGCGGGGUGUCGGCGGGUACCAGUCUCGGAAUCCAAGGAGGUUAGAGAAACUGCUGGGAUUGGGUCCAUCCUGAAGGCCCUUGGAAGAAGGGAGAGGAUGGAGGAGAGAUUUAAGAGCUGGAUACAAGGUGACUCAGUGUCCACAUCCAAUGCGGGAAUUCUCAGCACCUCCUUCUGGACUAUUGUCAUCAUCAGCAUCAUUAUUGCCAUUGUCAUCUUCAGGGAACUUCUCAGAAGUGGGCCCCGUGCCACCCAACUAUCUUCAGCAACUCAGAAACCCUAAGGCUGAGACCUGGCGAUCUCCUGUGUGUAUUGUGCUGGGGACAGAGUCUGGGGCCUUGCAUAUGCUAGGCAAGGCUCUCCCGCUGAGGUCAAGAAAAAGGAAGGGAUCAUUCUUGGCACAUUCAAAGCUGCCUGGAAUGUAGCUUGCCUGGCUUUGGCAGAGUUCUCAAAAUGGCCUUGCAGUCAUAUAAACAGUGCUGAGUCCAGAGACACAAGCUCUUGUAAGAAGGAUGGAUUACAAGACAAGAGACCAGCUACAGUUUGACAAGAUACAAGAUCCACAACAAAACAGGCAACCAAUGCAGGUGCUGUCUCUGCCCGACAAAAGCCAGUGCUGUCUCGGAUAGAACACAGAACACAGACUGGGAUGUCCCCAAAAUAGAGAUAACGACCAGAAAGUACAGCAUCUUUUCAAUGCCAAGUCACCUGAAAAUAUACAUCUGCCUUGAAUAUUUGCUCUGACCACUGUAUGUGAUAGAUGUGCCAGACUUCUCUUUCCAAUGCCCUAUAAAGCUUCCUGCCUUUUCUUUGUUUGGGACUGACGGCCUCUUGCUUGCUGUCAGUCCACCUCUGCCCAGGUGAAUAAAGUCCGUAC
rnacentral:lncRNA from 1 species